rnacentral:lncRNA from 1 species
UAACUUCUUCUAUAAGAUUGUUAAUUACUUGAACAAUGUAUCAUUCUAAUUUAUUCUACUUUUGAGAAUGCUGUUGAUUCUAGAAAAUUACUAGUCAACUGUUACAGGGACAUCUGUAUUUGUAUAUAUAGAUGUAUAUUUGUGUGCACCCUUAAUCUGUCUCCUGUGUCCGUUUAAUCUGAUGAGCUUAAUGGCAUUCUCAGUAACCUCAAAGCAUUGGUUUUUGGCUACAGUUUUGGUGUACAUCUUUGUUUUAUUGUGGGAAUCAGGUAUGCAUUCGACAACUGUUCGUGCAUGUUCAGUACGAUUACUUUUUCAGUAGCGUCCACUACUAUCCAAUUGUCCCUACUAAAUAUGCAAUUGAUUGUUUUUUCAGGAAGAACAUUUUUAUUCAUUGGUGUUGAUGUUUCUAUUGAUACCUUUGACAGGGAAAGCAUACGAAGAUUUGACAGGGAAAGCAGACGAAGAUCACCCUCAUCUAGGUGCUGCUGGCGUAAUUGCAAAUGAAUACGUGCCUGGAGCAGAAGAUGAAGGAGGAGAAGGAGAAGGAGAAGUAGAAGGAG